rnacentral:piRNA from 1 species
UGAAAUCAAUUUCAUGGCUGCAGCCAGCA